rnacentral:lncRNA from 1 species
UUUGAAUUAAGCAAACAUUAUGCUUGCAUUUAUUAUCUCUUCCAAAAUCAAAAGGAAAUUCAAUAAUAAAAUGGGAGAUAUACGCACGAUCAAUUAUAGCAGAAAUCAUAUUGAGAAUCUUUCUACCACCACAACUAUCCAUCAAAAUACAUCAUCUCGGCUUGCUUGUGAAUACGUUUUUAAAUUGUUUCAAUUUUGACUCUGCCAUUUACAAGGUAAUAUUAUGAAUAUGUUUAUGUUCUGCAAUCUAAGAUAGGUUGAAGAAUAAAUAUUUCACCUUUCCCAUAUGUAUAUGUAUCUAAAUUACGUUUGUUUCAGGAAUAAUACUCAAUUAGAUAUGUUGAGAACUGAUACCAAAAUUCGAAUGAUUAUGUGAUUUGGUGGGUUAAAAAAAAAUUGAAUCUUUAAUUCAAGUUUGUAGUUCAUGUUUGCAAUUAUGGGGGAAAAUAUUAUACAAUUCAUCUUAAAACGUUAUCUGUAAUAGUCUCUUUCUUUUCGCAACAUGAACUGUGAAAAAAUCGUGAUGGAUUACAUCAUUUCGCUUUCUCUUUGCAUCACCGCAUAAGACGCUAUUUGAAUUCUCAAUGAUUGCUUAUGUGAUUAGGUGAUGUGUCGAGAAUUGUAAUAUAUGACUUACAUAUUUCAAUUUCACAAAAUGUGAUAUACACUACUCUUUUGUGGAGCUGCAUAUGGCACAAAAUGUUGAACUAUCUCUAAUGAGUUUAUGAUCACAUUGAUGCCCUUUUUUUCCAUACAGAAAUGGGUGCAGCAAACUUCUUUUACAUAAAAGGAACAAAUACAACUGAUCUUCUCUUUUCAUUUGGUUGUGAGUACGCGAGCUUGUUGAAAUGAUUACGAAAAUUGAAAGUUGACCAGAGAU